UACGGGGGGGGUAAGCGUUGUUCGGAAUUACUGGGCGUAAAGGGCUCGUAGGCGGCCAACUAAGUCAGACGUGAAAUCCCUCAGCUUAACUGGGGAACUGCGUCUGAUACUGGAUGGCUUGAGUUUGGGAGAGGGAUGCGGAAUUCCAGGUGUAGCGGUGAAAUGCGUAGAUAUCUGGAGGAACACCGGUGGCGAAGGCGGCAUCCUGGACCAACACUGACGCUGAUGAGCGAAAGCCAGGGGAGCAAACGGG
rnacentral:rRNA from 1 species